UACGUAGGGCGCAAGCGUUAUCCGGAAUUAUUGGGCGUAAAGGGCUUGUAGGCGGAUCCGCCAGUCUGACGUGAAAUCUCCACCGCUCACCGGGGAGGGGCCGUUGGAUACUACGGAUCUGGAGUUCGGCAGAGGACCAUGGAAUUUCGGGUGUAGCGGUGGAAUGCGUAGAUAUCCGAAAGAACACCGGUGGCGAAGGCGGUGGUCUGGGCCUGAACUGACGCUGAGGAGCGAAAGCCAGGGGAGCAAACGGG
rnacentral:rRNA from 1 species